ACACAUUCCUUUUUUUGCACUGCUCUCUAAUGGAAAUUAACUAGUAGCAGUUGCAGAGCGUUCAGAUGAUAGCUUUAAUCUCAAAAAUAAUUGUAUUUAGUUUGUGUCUCUGACCCACAACCGCAAAGAAGAAGAUGUAUCCACACACGUAGAGACAGCUCUACUGUUUUCGCCCACAUAUGAUAUAGAUAUUUGAUCAUUAUCUUAGAUCUAUAGACACAGAG
rnacentral:misc_RNA from 1 species